UGGGGAAUAUUGCACAAUGGGCGAAAGCCUGAUGCAGCGACGCCGCGUGAGGGAUGACGGCCUUCGGGUUGUAAACCUCUUUCAGUAGGGACGAAGCGCAAGUGACGGUACCUGCAGAAGAAGCACCGGCUAACUACGUGCCAGCAGCCGCGGUAAUACGUAGGGUGCGAGCGUUGUCCGGAAUUACUGGGCGUAAAGAGCUCGUAGGCGGUUUGUCACGUCGUCUGUGAAAUCCUAGGGCUUAACCCUGGACGUGCAGGCGAUACGGGCUGACUUGAGUACGACAGGGGAGACUGGAAUUUCUGGUGUAGCGGUGGAAUGCACAGAUAUCAGGAAGAACACCGAUGGCGAAGGCAGGUCUCUGGGUAGUAACUGACGCUGAGGAGCGAAAGCAUGGGUAGCGAACAGG
rnacentral:rRNA from 1 species